rnacentral:rRNA from 1 species
UACGAAGGGGGCUAGCGUUGCUCGGAAUUACUGGGCGUAAAGCGCACGUAGGCGGCUUCUUAAGUCGGUGGUGAAAUCCUGGAGCUCAACUCCAGAACUGCCUUCGAUACUGGGAGCUCGAGUCCGGGAGAGGUGAGUGGAACUGCGAGUGUAGAGGUGAAAUUCGUAGAUAUUCGCAAGAACACCAGUGGCGAAGGCGGCUCACUGGCCCGGUACUGACGCUGAGGUGCGAAAGCGUGGGGGAGCAAACAGG